GGGUUUACAGCUCAGUGGAAGAGCACGUGCUUAGCAUGUACAAGGCCCUGGGUUCAACCCCCAGUACCACCA
rnacentral:tRNA from 1 species